ensembl:snRNA U6 U6 spliceosomal RNA
CUGCUUUGUAUGGCUGCACAUAUACUAAAAUUGGAUCGAUACAGAGAAGAUUAGCAGGGCCCCUGCAAAAGGAUGACACCGUGAAGCGCUCCAUAUUUUU